UACGUAGGGGGCAAGCGUUGUCCGGAUUUAUUGGGCGUAAAGAGCUCGUAGGCGGUUUGGUAAGUCUGGUGUGAAAUCUCCACGCUCAACGUGGAGGGGCCACCCGAUACUGCCAUGACUGGAGUCCGGUAGAGGAGUGUGGAAUUCCCGGUGUAGCGGUGAAAUGCGUAGAUAUCGGAAGGAACAUCAGUGGCGAAAGCGACUUCCUGGACCAGUACCGACGUCAGGCACGAAAGCGUGGGGAGCAAACAGG
rnacentral:rRNA from 1 species